GGGUGACUAGAGUAUGUCAGAGGGGGGUAGACUUCCACGUGUAGCAGUGAAAUGCGUAGAGAUGUGGAGGAAUACCGAUGGCGAAGGCAGCCCCCUGGGAUGAUACUGACGUUCAUGCCCGAAAGCGUGGGUAGCAAACAGGAUUAGAUACCCUGGUAGUCCACGCCCUAAACGAUGUCAAUUAGCUGUUGGGGCACUUGAUGCCUUAGUAGCGUAGCUAACGCGUGAAAUUGACCGCCUGGGGAGUACGGUCGCAAGAUUAAAACUCAAAGGAAUUGACGGGGACCCGCACAAGCGGUGGAUGAUGUGGAUUAAUUCGAUGCAACGCGAAGAACCUUACCUGGUCUUGACAUGUACGGAAUCCUCCAGAGACGGAGGAGUGCCUUCGGGAGCCGUAACACAGGUGCUGCAUGGCUGUCGUCAGCUCGUGUCGUGAGAUGUUGGGUUAAGUCCCGCAACGAGCGCAACCCUUGUCAUUAGUUGCCAUCAUUAAGUUGGGCACUCUAAUGAGACUGCCGGUGACAAGCCGGAGGAAGGUGGGGAUGACGUCAAGUCCUCAUGGCCCUUAUGACCAGGGCUUCACACGUCAUACAAUGGUCGGUACAGAGGGUAGCCAAGCCGCGAGGUGGAGCCAAUCCCAGAAAACCGAUCGUAGUCCGGAUUGCACUCUGCAACUCGAGUGCAUGAAGUCGGAAUCGCUAGUAAUCGCAGGUCAGCAUACUGCGGUGAAUACGUUCCCGGGUCUUGUACACACCGCCCGUCACACCAUGGGAGUGGGGGAUACCAGAAGUAGGUAGGGUAACCGCAAGGAGCC
rnacentral:rRNA from 1 species